AGAGUUUGAUCCUGGCUCAGAACGAACGCUGGCGGCAGGCCUAACACAUGCAAGUCGAGCGCUCACCUUCGGGUGGGAGCGGCGCACGGGUGAGUAACACGUGGGAACCUACCUUGAAGUACGGAAUAACUGAGGGAAACUUCAGCUAAUACCGUAUACGCCCUACGGGGGAAAGAUUUAUCGCUUCAAGACGGGCCCGCGUUGGAUUAGCUAGUUGGUGAGGUAAUGGCUCACCAAGGCAACGAUCCAUAGCUGAUUUGAGAGAAUGAUCAGCCACACUGGGACUGAGACACGGCCCAGACUCCUACGGGAGGCAGCAGUGGGGAAUAUUGGACAAUGGGCGGAAGCCUGAUCCAGCCAUG
rnacentral:rRNA from 1 species